GAUGAACGCUGGCGGCGUGCCUAAUACAUGCAAGUCGAGCGAACAGACGCUGAGCUUGCUCCUUUCACGUUUGCGGCGGACGGGUGAGUCACACGUAUGUACCCCACCUAUAUGACUGGGAUAACUUCGGGACACCGGAGCUUAUACCGUAGAAUAUUUCGAACCGCGGGGUUCGAUAGUGAAAUAUGGCUUUGCUGGCACUAAUAGAUGGACCUGCGCCGUAUUAGCUAGUUGGUAAGUUAACGGCCUACCAAGGGAAGGAUGCGUUACCGACCUGAGAGGGUGGUCGGCCACACUGGAGCUGAGCCACCGUCAAUGCUCCUACGGGAGGGAGCAGUCGGGAAUCUUCGGCAGUGGGCGAAAGCCUGACGGAGCAACGCCGAGCGAGUGAUGAAGGUCUUCGGAUCGUAAAACUGUGUUAUUAGGUAAGAACAAAUUUGUAAGUAACUGUGCACGUCUUGACGGUACCUAAUCAGAAAGCCCCGGCUAACUACGUG
rnacentral:rRNA from 1 species